AACAAAUUCCAGAAUUUUCAUGCAGUCAGGUUGUAUAAGUUAUUUGCCUACAAGUCAUUUGUUGAAAUCCCUUCUAACUCAGUUUCCAUACAUUGCGGUCCCCCAAAUUGACUUACUUGUAGAUUAAAAACCAUCUUAUCAUUGUCAUUAAACUUCUGAAACAUUUGCCAUCUCCCAUUUUCAAUGGUUCUUAUAGUCAGGCAUGAUCCAAAUGCUUUCGUUCCAAUGUUCUUUAAACUUCUCACCUAAACUCUUCUCUGAGACUCAGUUUUCAAAGAUUUUUGCUUCUUCUUUCCCCUUCUCUGCCAUCUCAGUUUUUUACUAUAUAUAUAUCUCAAUUUAGAGUCUCUAGAUUCUAUUUACUUAUUUUUCAGGAUAUAGAUUCUGGCUGAUGUAGGGAAAAGUCCACAAUAUUGACCCUGUGAAAAAGAUUAAUUUUAAUCCAAGAAAUGGUACAAUAGAGAGUAGGAAGAGAAGGUAAAAAGUCAAAUACUUAUAACUCAGCCCUCUCAUCUUUUCAUGCCAUAUUAUGUUAUUUAAGACCUUCUGCAAUUAGAAGGUCAAGAUCUCUCACUUUAAUUGCUUCUAUACCAGGAUCUCUGUAUCAAAGUUCUACCACCAGAGGAGAUAUGGUACCAUUCUAUCAUGUCGGUUGGUUAUUUAUUUUCUGAACCAUAGUUAGAAAUUUAUAAGCAUGUUGGAAUGCUUACCAGCAUAAACCUCAGGGGUCUGAGAGUGUGCCCAGUUGAAUACACUCUAGCCAAGCAUUAGGGCCUAGUGUCACCUCUCACCUAACCUGGCACUGAACUCAUUACCAAACCUAUCUAUGGUCUCAUUCAACACAUGGACCUGUAGGUCAUGCACUUCAGUUCCUCAGACUAUUUCAUUAAGUCAAAUCCACACUCCCUCCCUUCCCCCCGGCCCACUGAGCUAUAAAGCUCAGAAUAACAAGUGGUAAAUAACGUGGUUUUAUCACAGUGAUGCUUAAACCUACACUUAAGGUAAAUGGCACUGUGAAGGGCAAAAACAAAAAACAAAACCUAAAUUACAGAUCUACAGAUAGUUCUCCAAUUAAGUCAACUGCUUUGAGGUAUCACUUGGUUCACUUUCUAAAAUAGAUCACAGCAAGCAAGCAGUUAAAUGAAGCUGAUUUAGCGUCCAUCAUUUUUUUUUUUAAUUUCAUCUAAAUUUUUCUAGUUGUGUGGUGAAUGAGUAAAAGACUAAGAGUUACGAGAAGAGAUCAUAAAAGCCUGGAUAAUCUGUAAUCUAGAGAAUAACCAUUCAUUUACUAUGCCUUUCCAUUUUGUUACUCAAUUCAUCUAGCCCCUGUGCCAAAACUAUUAUUUCUUCUUAUGCUACAUAAGUUAAUUUGCACAAAACAUCAAACUGCUAUUUCUGUGAAAGGCCAAGUCCUGGUUCUUAUGUCUUGAAAAAAAUAUAUUUUUAAUCCUCUCUUACUGCUCUCUCCUUCCUCUACACCCUCCCUCAUAUCUAUUUACAUUUUGCCAUUUGUGAACACUUUGGUUUCUACUGAGAUGUCUGACACAAAAUUGAGAAUUUGAGGCUUGCAUGCAAAAUCAGCAGCCAAUUACAAUUCUAGUCUUCAGCUCUCUCAGCAUUCUGUCACCAACCACCUGCCUGGGUUGUGAAAACCUUGGCAGGUUGUCUCCUCACUAUGAAUGAGUGAGGAUUUAUGUGACCUUCACAAAAUCAGACAAGAAGCCUGCACAUCAGAUAAAAUGUCUAAUGAAAUUAACACAAUGUUCAUAGGCUUGAAAAGAAAUGUCCACAGACCAUUCAACAACUGGAGACAUCACCUUUCUUGUCUCUUCUCAAUUGCACGUCUCCCUCUCAUUUAAAUUAACAAAAAUGCCUUUAAGCUCUACUAUGUAACUCUCCUACACAAAAGGCACAUGCACAAAUGCACAUUUUCAGUAGUUGUCUCUGUACAACUGGUGAACACAGAAAUGCCCUUAUUGAUGAUAUAUAUUAAACUAUAUGGAUGAGGAUGAGAGAUUAUCCCUUAUUAUGGCUUUUUAGUCAGGCAGUAAGUGAGUAUUUAUUGAGUUCUGACCUUGUACAAAGUCCAUGGUUCACUGUGAUAAAUGUAUAUACAAUGAGUUUUGUUGAAUAAACAGCAUGACUUCCAGCUUAUAAGAUAUUAAAAUCAAAUUAAUACUCAAACAAAAUCAUAUAGGAACUAUUCAGAUAUUUAAAACAGAGAUAAGUGGAAAAUUAUCAGCUAUGAAGUUGCCAGAUAAAUCUCUACUAAUAUUUUUGUAUUUUUCUAUCUCUCUCACUGUGGUUCUGCCAGUCCCUUGCAUGUAUGCCUAUGACCUAUUAUUCUCAUUGAGAAGCAUAAAACAGAUUGCCAUAUUCACCUUAAUAGGACUAUAGCAAAUCACUUAAUAACUCCCCCACAAUUUAUUUAAACAAUCAUUUAGUGGGUAUGAGUGUUCUCUCCAAAUUUUAAUUCACAGUGCAUGCACCCACCCACCCACACACACACGAAUACACAGCUUUGUAUACAUGCUCAACAAUAUCAUUAAGAUAAAUGUCUAUCACAAAGCCAUGCAUUUUUAAACUUUUAGGAAUUUUAAUAUUUAAUACUUACACAGAAAUGUAAAUAUAUCAGUGUAAACCUGAAUAAAUUUUCAAAGAUAGCACACCAUGUAUGGCAUUCAUUUCAAGAAAGAGUAUUACCUAUGAUAUAAGGCCCAUUUUGAGCCUCUUUUCCAGUCUUAAUCCCCCCAGAAGGUAAUCAUUAUGCUGACAUUAUACUGACUAGAAAACAGAUUACAUAAAUUUAAGUGAAAAAUUAGGUUCUCUUUUGUACUCAAGCUUCUUUGUGAAAUGUAUACUGUUGUGUUUAAUUGUGUAUUAAUCAUUUUCAAAGCUAUAUAGUUUUCCUUCUAUGUCACAAAUUAUAUGUCCAUUACAUUUGGUGAACAUUUAACGUAUCAGGAAGUUUCCACUGUGGGCAGUCAUGAAUAAUGUUCCUGUGAA
rnacentral:lncRNA from 1 species